CCAUAACUACUCUGAAAAUAGCUGAUCUCGUUUAAUCUUGGAAGCUAAGCAGGAUCAGGCAUGGUGAGUAAUUGGAUGGGAGAUCAGUAAGAAUAAGGGGU
rnacentral:rRNA from 1 species